ACGCACUCACUUGCACAGCAUUGAAUGGAAAAGGCUUUGUCCAUGUCCAGUUGAGGGCAUCAAGAACACGCAGAUAGCAUAAACCUGUGUCAGCCUGGACAGACUGUAGAUCUGCUACUCAACGCCAAGGCUUUUGUAUGCAUGUCUGACUACUACAGUGUUCUUUAAAGGUAUAACUGGAGCAAAACAACAGCAUCCGUUACAGUGAAAUUUGUGUUCAUAAAAGAUAGUGAUAUAUGUGUAACAGGUCCAGUACAUUUGUCAUAAAGGUUAAAUCACAGUAAGUACUGUAAAAAUAACUUGUUUGCCUCUGCCACAACAGGUCAUGGUGUGUGCAUACUGCUCGUAGUAAACACACACGCUGAUCUGAUGCGGGAGAGAUAUACGCAAACACAUUUGUAUUUACUG
ensembl:processed_transcript